rnacentral:rRNA from 1 species
GAGUUUGAUCAUGGCUCAGGACGAACGCUGGCGGCGUGCUUAACACAUGCAAGUCGAACGGAAAGGCCCUGCUUUUGUGGGGUGCUCGAGUGGCGAACGGGUGAGUAACACGUGAGUAACCUGCCCUUGACUUUGGGAUAACUUCAGGAAACUGGGGCUAAUACCGGAUAGGAGCUCCUGCUGCAUGGUGGGGGUUGGAAAGUUUCGGCGGUUGGGGAUGGACUCGCGGCUUAUCAGCUUGUUGGUGGGGUAGUGGCUUACCAAGGCUUUGACGGGUAGCCGGCCUGAGAGGGUGACCGGCCACAUUGGGACUGAGAUACGGCCCAGACUCCUACGGGAGGCAGCAGUGGGGAAUAUUGCACAAUGGGCGGAAGCCUGAUGCAGCAACGCCGCGUGCGGGAUGACGGCCUUCGGGUUGUAAACCGCUUUCGCCUGUGACGAAGCGUGAGUGACGGUAAUGGGUAAAGAAGCACCGGCUAACUACGUGCCAGCAGCCGCGGUGAUACGUAGGGUGCGAGCGUUGUCCGGAUUUAUUGGGCGUAAAGGGCUCGUAGGUGGUUGAUCGCGUCGGAAGUGUAAUCUUGGGGCUUAACCCUGAGCGUGCUUUCGAUACGGGUUGACUUGAGGAAGGUAGGGGAGAAUGGAAUUCCUGGUGGAGCGGUGGAAUGCGCAGAUAUCAGGAGGAACACCAGUGGCGAAGGCGGUUCUCUGGGCCUUUCCUGACGCUGAGGAGCGAAAGCGUGGGGAGCGAACAGGCUUAGAUACCCUGGUAGUCCACGCUGUAAACGGUGGGUACUAGGUGUGGGGUCCAUUCCACGGGUUCCGUGCCGUAGCUAACGCUUUAAGUACCCCGCCUGGGGAGUACGGCCGCAAGGCUAAAACUCAAAGGAAUUGACGGGGCCCCGCACAAGCGGCGGAGCAUGCGGAUUAAUUCGAUGCAACGCGUAGAACCUUACCUGGGUUUGACAUGGAUCGGGAGUGCUCAGAGAUGGGUGUGCCUCUUUUGGGGUCGGUUCACAGGUGGUGCAUGGCUGUCGUCAGCUCGUGUCGUGAGAUGUUGGGUUAAGUCCCGCAACGAGCGCAACCCUUGUUCACUGUUGCCAGCACGUUAUGGUGGGGACUCAGUGGAGACCGCCGGGGUCAACUCGGAGGAAGGUGGGGAUGACGUCAAGUCAUCAUGCCCCUUAUGUCCAGGGCUUCACGCAUGCUACAAUGGCUGGUACAGAGAGUGGCGAGCCUGUGAGGGUGAGCGAAUCUCGGAAAGCCGGUCUCAGUUCGGAUUGGGGUCUGCAACUCGACCUCAUGAAGUCGGAGUCGCUAGUAAUCGCAGAUCAGCAACGCUGCGGUGAAUACGUUCCCGGGGCUUGUACACACCGCCCGUCAAGUCAUGAAAGUUGGUAACACCCGAAGCCGGUGGCCUAACCGUUGUGGGGGAGCCGUCGAAGGUGGGACUGGUGAUUAGGACUAAGUCGUAACAAGGUAGCCCA